UACAGAGGUCUCAAGCGUUGUUCGGAUUCAUUGGGCGUAAAGGGUGCGUAGGUGGCGGGGUUAGUCAGGUGUGAAAUCUCGGAGCUCAACUCCGAAACUGCACUUGAUACUGCCUUGCUUGAGUACUGGAGAGGAGAUUGGAAUUUACGGUGUAGCAGUGAAAUGCGUAGAUAUCGUAAGGAAGACCAGUGGCGAAGGCGAAUCUCUGGACAGUUCCUGACACUGAGGCACGAAGGCCAGGGGAGCAAACGGG
rnacentral:rRNA from 1 species